UACGUAGGGUGCAAGCGUUUAAUCGGAAUACUGGGCGUAAAGCGUGCGCAGGCGGUGAUGUAAGACAGGUGUGAAAUCCCCGGCUUAACCUGGAACUGCAUUGUGACUGCAUCGCUGGAGUGCGGCAGAGGGGGGAUGGAAUUCCGCGUGUAGCAGUGAAAAUGCGUAGAUAUGCGGAGGAACACGAUGGCGAAGGCAAUCCC
rnacentral:rRNA from 1 species